rnacentral:misc_RNA from 1 species
AUUUACGUACUCCAUGACUCCAUAAUUCUAAGAUGAGCCUAUUAUGCAAAGCAUGAAAAUGAGAUUUCAGAAACACAUUCAACUUAAUACACUUGAUUUUCUUAUCCUUUCACAAUUACAUUGACUCCAUUGAGAAUGAUCCAUGGAACUUUUAAGAUGACACUCCUUUCCAAAAGGACCAGAAGAUUUUGGAAUUCACUCAACUCUUCUAGGUGUAUGCAAGGAGCAGAAAAAGUUAUAACUAUAGAAUGUUGCAAAUUUCUAAGCACUGUAAUGAUAGCAAACUUUGCAAGAAGAUGCUUUAAUUUUUGUGGAGCCAAAUACAAUUUGAAGGCUUAUCUAGGAUGCAAUCCAACAUACCAAACCCUGUACAUCCAAUACUG